UACGGAGGGUGCAAGCGUUGUUCGGAAUUACUGGGCGUAAAGCGCGUGUAGGUGGCUUGUUAUGUCAGGUGUGAAAGCCCUCGGCCUAACCGAGGAAGUGCGCCUGAAACUGAUAAGCUUGAGUACGAGAGAGGAGGACGGAAUUCCCAGUGUAGAGGUGAAAUUCGUAGAUAUUGGGAGGAACACCGGUGGCGAAAGCGGUUCUCUGGAUCGAUACUGACACUAAGACGCGAAAGCGUGGGGAUCAAACAGGAUUAGAAACCCCCGUAGUCC
rnacentral:rRNA from 1 species